GUGAUUGAGGAGCUGCUUGAUGAACUACACGGCGCCCGAUGGUUUUCCAAACUAGACUUGCGCGCCGGGUACCACCAGAUAAGAUUGGCAGAGGGAGAGGAAUUCAAAAUAGCUUUCCAAACGCACUUGGGGCACUUUGAGUUCAAGGUGCUGUCAUUCGGGCUAGCAGGAGGGCCAGCCACUUUCAUCGAAGCUGUGACUGAUACUCUACAGCCACUACUGCGUGAGUGUGUGUUGUCAUUCUUCGACGACAUAUUGGUGUUCAGCAAAACAUUGGAGGCACAUGCAGAACACCUCCGACAGGUCUUCACCCUCUUGUGCCGUGAUCAAUGGAAGGUGAAGCUGAGCAAGUGCGCUUUUGGGCAG
rnacentral:rRNA from 1 species